ACUGUGGCAAAUUGUCUUCUCAGCUGUCUUUAUCAAGUGAGAAACAAACCUGAAAGGCUGGAAAAGUGCCUCCUUUGCAACAGGAGACUUUGUGUAUCAAAAGGCUGGGGCGGCAUGUGCUUGCAGUUCCGGCACUGCGAAGGCAGAGACAGAUGUCACAGGCUCACCUCUUGAACCAGGAUGGAUAACACAUUACAGAAGAAGGAGAUGAGAAAGAAUCUACAGAUAGAGAUGUUGAGCCAAAGAAUUGCAGCACUAGAAGGGAGCAAGGAUAUCAUACACAAGUACCCUUAGACACACGGGAAAAGUGAGGACUGAGUAGUAGGGGCAUUACUGAUAGCAAGUUAGGAUCUCCCUGACCCGCACCUUGUUGAGGAUGUAGAGGAGCGUGCCACUCUGCUCAUGUCCUGUGGGCACCAAGUCCUCCUUUCCUCGACACCCCGCUUCAUUAAGGUCUUUGGGAGGACCAAUGCCAACGCAGAUUUACCAUGCAUUCAGGGGUGUGGGAUUUGUUGAGGAUGCACCCAGUAGGUAGAGUGCUUGUCUGGCCUGGAAGAAGCCGUGCACUUAAUCCCCAGCGCUGUGUAAGCGGGGUAUAGUGACACAUGAUGUGAUCCCAGCAUGUACAAAACAGAGGCAAGAAGUUCAGGAGUUCAAGGUUAUCCUCAGGUGCCUAGUAAGUCUGAGGCUAGCCUGUAAUACAUGAGGCUGUCCCAAGAUAAAAUGAAGUAGGAUGAAACAACACUAGCAGCUAGACGGUGCACUGUGUAGAUGCCUCCCCUUCCUUGAAUUGCACAGGAAUGGAGUCCAGGGAUGUGAGUCUUGUCCGGAUUCUGAUACUGCGAUGGGGUAUGCUGGAGCUCACUUUGUCAGUCUCUCAGGAAGAACAACUCCUGCUUGUACUGGCUAGCCUCAGCAGCCAGCAUUCUGCUGAUUCUGCUAGAAGCGUUGCCGCGUCAGAGGUGGUGUGGGAUCCUGACUUCCCGCCUGAGCAGCUGUUGGGCAGGGUAGCCCUCCUUUGCUUCCCCAUGGACUUCCUUACACUGCCGUAGAGAUAGCCUGGGGGCGGGGAGAUGUUCUUCAGGGGAAUUAAAGUCUCUUUCUUGAAAGGUAACAAAUUCCUCACUAAUUAUGUUAUUAUUUUAUUAUGCAGCCAUAAUGAAAAAAAAUACUCAAAGCCUAAAAGGAAGGUUGUAGGCAAGACUUAUCCAAUUUAAUAAAUCCUCUCCAUCCCAUAA